GAACCUGUAACUCAGUUGGUAGAGUAGGAGACUUUUAAUCUCAAGGCCGUGGAUUCGAGUUCCACCAGGUUCACCA
rnacentral:tRNA from 1 species